rnacentral:rRNA from 1 species
UGCAUAUCAAAAAGCGGAGGAAAAGAAACCAACAGGGAUUGCCCUAGUAACGGCGAGUGAAGCGGCAACAGCUCAAAUUUGAAAUCUGGCUCUUUUAGAGUCCGAGUUGUAAUUUGCAGAGGGCGCUUUGGCUUUGGCAGCGGUCCAAGUUCCUUGGAACAGGACGUCACAGAGGGUGAGAAUCCCGUACGUGGUCGCUGGCUAUUGCCGUGUAAAGCCCCUUCGACGAGUCGAGUUGUUUGGGAAUAGCAAGCUUCUAAAUUGGGAGGUACAUUUCUUCUAAAGCUAAAUAUUGGCCAGAGACCGAUAGCGCACAAGUAGAGUGAUCGAAAGAUGAAAAGCACUUUGGAAAGAGAGUCAAACAGCACGUGAAAUUGUUGAAAGGGAAGCGCUUGCAGCCAGACUUGCUUACAGUUGCUCAUCCGGGUUUCUACCCGGUGCACUCUUCUGUAGGCAGGCCAGCAUCAGUUUGGGCGGUAGGAUAAAGGUCUCUGUCACGUACCUCCUUUCGGGGAGGCCUUAUAGGGGAGACGACAUACUACCAGCCUGGACUGAGGUCCGCGCAUCUGCUAGGAUGCUGGCGUAAUGGCUGUAAGCGGCCCGUCUUGAAACACGGACCAAUAU